rnacentral:rRNA from 1 species
CGGGACACGUGGUAUCCUGUCUGAAUAUGGGGGGACCAUCCUCCAAGGCUAAAUACUCCUGACUGACCGAUAGUGAACCAGUACCGUGAGGGAAAGGCGAAAAGAACCCCGGCGAGGGGAGUGAAAAAGAACCUGAAACCGUGUACGUACAAGCAGUGGGAGCACGCUUAGGCGUGUGACUGCGUACCUUUUGUAUAAUGGGUCAGCGACUUAUAUUCUGUAGCAAGGUUAACCGAAUAGGGGAGCCGAAGGGAAACCGAGUCUUAACUGGGCGUUAAGUUGCAGGGUAUAGACCCGAAACCCGGUGAUCUAGCCAUGGGCAGGUUGAAGGUUGGGUAACACUAACUGGAGGACCGAACCGACUAAUGUUGAAAAAUUAGCGGAUGACUUGUGGCUGGGGGUGAAAGGCCAAUCAAACCGGGAGAUAGCUGGUUCUCCCCGAAAGCUAUUUAGGUAGCGCCUCGUGAAUUCAUCUCCGGGGGUAGAGCACUGUUUCGGCAAGGGGGUCAUCCCGACUUACCAACCCGAUGCAAACUGCGAAUACCGGAGAAUGUUAUCACGGGAGACACACGGCGGGUGCUAACGUCCGUCGUGAAGAGGGAAACAACCCAGACCGCCAGCUAAGGUCCCAAAGUCAUGGUUAAGUGGGAAACGAUGUGGGAAGGCCCAGACAGCCAGGAUGUUGGCUUAGAAGCAGCCAUCAUUUAAAGAAAGCGUAAUAGCUCACUGGUCGAGUCGGCCUGCGCGGAAGAUGUAACGGGGCUAAACCAUGCACCGAAGCUGCGGCAGCGACGCUGAUGCGUUGUUGGGUAGGGGAGCGUUCUGUAAGCCUGCGAAGGUGUGCUGUGAGGCAUGCUGGAGGUAUCAGAAGUGCGAAUGCUGACAUAAGUAACGAUAAAGCGGGUGAAAAGCCCGCUCGCCGGAAGACCAAGGGUUCCUGUCCAACGUUAAUCGGGGCAGGGUGAGUCGACCCCUAAGGCGAGGCCGAAAGGCGUAGUCGAUGGGAAACAGGUUAAUAUUCCUGUACUUGGUGUUACUGCGAAGGGGGGACGGAGAAGGCUAUGUUGGCCGGGCGACGGUUGUCCCGGUUUAAGCGUGUAGGCUGGUUUUCCAGGCAAAUCCGGAAAAUCAAGGCUGAGGCGUGAUGACGAGGCACUACGGUGCUGAAGCAACAAAUGCCCUGCUUCCAGGAAAAGCCUCUAAGCAUCAGGUAACAUCAAAUCGUACCCCAAACCGACACAGGUGGUCAGGUAGAGAAUACCAAGGCGCUUGAGAGAACUCGGGUGAAGGAACUAGGCAAAAUGGUGCCGUAACUUCGGGAGAAGGCACGCUGAUAUGUAGGUGAAGUCCCUCGCGGAUGGAGCUGAAAUCAGUCGAAGAUACCAGCUGGCUGCAACUGUUUAUUAAAAACACAGCACUGUGCAAACACGAAAGUGGACGUAUACGGUGUGACGCCUGCCCGGUGCCGGAAGGUUAAUUGAUGGGGUUAGCGCAAGCGAAGCUCUUGAUCGAAGCCCCGGUAAACGGCGGCCGUAACUAUAACGGUCCUAAGGUAGCGAAAUUCCUUGUCGGGUAAGUUCCGACCUGCACGAAUGGCGUAAUGAUGGCCAGGCUGUCUCCACCCGAGACUCAGUGAAAUUGAACUCGCUGUGAAGAUGCAGUGUACCCGCGGCAAGACGGAAAGACCCCGUGAACCUUUACUAUAGCUUGACACUGAACAUUGAGCCUUGAUGUGUAGGAUAGGUGGGAGGCUUUGAAGUGUGGACGCCAGUCUGCAUGGAGCCGACCUUGAAAUACCACCCUUUAAUGUUUGAUGUUCUAACGUUGACCCGUGAUCCGGGUUGCGGACAGUGUCUGGUGGGUAGUUUGACUGGGGCGGUCUCCUCCUAAAGAGUAACGGAGGAGCACGAAGGUUGGCUAAUCCUGGUCGGACAUCAGGAGGUUAGUGCAAUGGCAUAAGCCAGCUUGACUGCGAGCGUGACGGCGCGAGCAGGUGCGAAAGCAGGUCAUAGUGAUCCGGUGGUUCUGAAUGGAAGGGCCAUCGCUCAACGGAUAAAAGGUACUCCGGGGAUAACAGGCUGAUACCGCCCAAGAGUUCAUAUCGACGGCGGUGUUUGGCACCUCGAUGUCGGCUCAUCACAUCCUGGGGCUGAAGUAGGUCCCAAGGGUAUGGCUGUUCGCCAUUUAAAGUGGUACGCGAGCUGGGUUUAGAACGUCGUGAGACAGUUCGGUCCCUAUCUGCCGUGGGCGCUGGAGAACUGAGGGGGGCUGCUCCUAGUACGAGAGGACCGGAGUGGACGCAUCACUGGUGUUCGGGUUGUCAUGCCAAUGGCACUGCCCGGUAGCUAAAUGCGGAAGAGAUAAGUGCUGAAAGCAUCUAAGCACGAAACUUGCC